UAGCAAUUUCCCUUGGGCCGGAUCCGCAUGAAAGCCUUUAGAUCCGUCUGUAGCGGACAUACGGUAUCUGACUGUGGGCCAGAUCUGCACCUGAUAAGAUUUCAGCUCUGCUAGCAAAGCUGUUUUUUCAUCGAUUUACAGAUUUGUCCCAGGUCCGUUUUCCGCAACUCAACCGGAAAUCAGGAGAUGCGUUUAAAAUACAAAACACUAAUUUGGCCCAAACCUGUGAUACGGAUAUGGGCAGAAGGAGCAGGUGGUAUAAAUUGAACAGAGAAGUCAACUAUCUGGCUGCUGUAGAAUAAAAGUAUUUUGAAAAAAUGGCACAAAUUUAGAAACAUAAGGGUGCACUAUGUGCCCAUGGCCACUUCAUUUCUACACUAAGGCUGGAAUUUAAGCUAUUGGCUCAGUAUAUGUGCCAGUUAGACUUUUCAGUGCUGUUUUUCUACAGUCAGCAGAUUUGGGCCAGAUCCACUUACCACAUCAGAACCAAAGCUUCCAGAAAGUCAGUCCACUGAUGUGGCCCACAUCUGUAAUAUUGACCCAAACCACCUCCAAACUUGUGUGUUCAACUCUGGUUUACUGAACAGAGCCGAACGCGCGAAGUGAGUGAGGUCCGUCCGUUUGAGAGACGUUAUGCUGAUCUGGCCCUCAUCCGUACCACGGAUUAUAGCCAGAAACCGUUGGAAUAGAGCAAAUGAAACUUUUGUGGGGGUGCCCAUUGCCAUAUUUCGUUAUUAAAUCCUGAUUUGUUAAAUCUUACAAUGGAACACUUGCACGUAGCCUACACAAAAAUGAUUAAUUCACUAACAAAGUAAUAGGCUUGUCUUAAAAUGGAAGAUUUACUACAUAACUAAAAAAAAUACAUUAGCAACUGUCCACUAUCCAAGUGCAAUGGUCCAAGCUGUAUUGCCAUCCUGGGAAGAAGAAAAAAUUGCGAACAUCGUGGGAAAAAACGGCACUGGCACACAUAAUGGAUGGCAACAUGGGUGCAUUUAUAGUCCAUCAUGACAUAAAAAAUCCUCGGCAUGCAACCACGAGGAGAGGGGGAAUUUACUAAGGAGUUUUGUCUAUAUAUUAUAUAAAAUCUACUGUUGGGCAAGUACAUUUUGUAUUAUUUGAUUAACGUGCUUAAGUUUUAAUUGUUUGACACAAAUGAACCAAAAUAAACAUUGCCAGAAUUGUCCACACUGAGUAUGGCUAAAAUUAGCUAAUAGGCUAAAAGGUACUUUGAACUUACACAUGUUAUACCAUAGUAUAAAGUAUGUUUAAUGGUACAGUCAAAGUUAUUACUUUAGCUUAUUUAUGUAGCCUUUGAGAAUUUCUUUCAGAAAUUAAAACAUCUGAAAGAGAAAAGUUAUUUGGCAUGAUGGAAUGAUUUGAUUGCCUACACAUUGCACAUGUAAAAUGUUAAAUACUGUUCUGUAUUAAAAGCUCAGCAUAAGUGUUUGAUUAACUUCCUUUGCUUUUGUUUUGUACAAAGGAAGAGCAGAACCUAAUCCAAAUAAAAAUAAACAAGCUGUUAAAAGCCAGUUGAAGGUGGUCAACACAAACCAAAUGAAGAUGUUGCACAUUCCACAAACAAUAAAAAAAGAAGAUCAAGUUUUGUGUCCAACACACUUGGAUGAGACGUGCCCGACCCCUGACUUUGUCUACCCUACAUUAAGUUGUGAUGGCACACUUCAUGACAGUAAACAUCGGUAUCAAGAUGGUGUGAUUCAUCUAUACCCUAGAAUAAGCUGUGACACUAUGAGACGGUGUCAUAAUGAACAGCCAUCUUCCAGACAACCGAAACAGGCAGAUAUUGUCUACAAUCCCAAAUUCUGGAUUGUCGCCCCAGUACCAGAAGGCACUCCAAUCCCAGAGAGCAUCCCAUUGUGAGGUAACACAACGAAAAAAUAACAGGAUGGAGACUGCCUGAUCCUUCAACUAUGGCCUUAGCUUCAAAUGCAAGAAGUCCAGCAACUGUCUGAGUUGGUGUAUAUUCUGUCAGAGACUGCGUGAACAAUGUUAUGAACAGAAUGAUGUCUAAUUGUCUUAUGGCAAAGUUCAAUAUGAGGGGUGGUGGACAUCUGGAAAAGAAGUCUUUUAAAGGCACACCUUUGUAUUAUGUUAUUCAAGAUGCUGUGAGGAGGUGGAGCCCAAAAGCCAUGGACUCGGAAAUCGAUGCAGCUAUGGCAGACCACCUCAAGCACGCUCCAGGAAGAGAGCUAGGGGUUGUGAAUACAAAAAAUAAGCCAAACAGAUGUAAUGUGUUAGAGAUAGUUCACACAAAAAUUAAAAUUGUUAUAAUUUCCUUACCCACGUGUUUCAAACCUGUAUACAUUUUUAUUUUCUGCUGAACACAAAGAUUGAAUAAUGUUUGUAACCAAGCAUUUCUCACAACCCAUUAACUGUCAUAAUAUUUUUUUUUACCAUUGUAGUAAUGGGUUGUGAGAUCUGCUUUUUUAAAAACAUUCUUUCAAAUAUCUUUGUGUUCCGCAGAACAUAGAAAGGUAUACAGGUUUGAAACAUGAGAGGGAGUAAAUGACUAAAUAUUCAUUUUUGGGUGAACUAUCCCUUUAUAUAAUAAAGUAUUUUGAAAUUGUUAUUAUAGUUAAAAAAAUAAAAGUCCUAAAUCAAAA